rnacentral:rRNA from 1 species
UACGUAGGGGGCGAGCGUUGUCCGAAGUUACUGGGCGUAAAGCGCGCGUAGGCGGGUCGUUAAGUGGGAAGUGAAAGGCUGGGGCUCAACCCCAUGCAGUGCUUCUCAUACUGGCGGUCUUGAGUGAGGUAGGGAGAAGUGGAAUGGCUGGUGUAGCGGUGAAAUGCGUAGAUAUCGAGAGGAACACCUGCGGCGAAGGCGGGUUGCUGGGCCGACACUGACGCUGAUGCGCGAAAGCCAGGGGAGCGAACGGG